GCCCUGGUGGUGGAAUUUGGUAGACACAUACGCUUGAGGGGCGUACGGGGAAACCCAUGCCGGUUCGAGUCCGGCCCAGGGCA
rnacentral:tRNA from 1 species